AUUGAACGCUGGCGGCAUGCCUUACACAUGCAAGUCGAGCGGUAACGGGUCCUUCGGGAUGCCGACGAGUGGCGAACGGGUGAGUAAUAUAUCGGAACGUGCCCAGUAGUGGGGGAUAACUGCUCGAAAGAGCAGCUAAUACCGCAUACGACCUGGGGGUGAAAGGGGGGGAUCGCAAGACCUCUCGCUAUUGGAGCGGCCGAUAUCAGAUUAGCUAGUUGGUGGGGUAAAGGCCUACCAAGGCAACGAUCUGAAGUUGGUCUGAGAGGACGACCAGCCACACUGGGACUGAGACACGGCCCAGACUCCUACGGGAGGCAGCAGUGGGGAAUUUUGGACAAUGGGCGCAAGCCUGAUCCAGCAAUGCCGCGUGCAGGAAGAAGGCCUUCGGGUUGUAAACUGCUUUUGUCAGGGAAGAAAUCUUCUGGGCUAAUACCCCGGGAGGAUGACGGUACCUGAAGAAUAAGCACCGGCUAACUACGUGCCAGCCGCCGCCGUAA
rnacentral:rRNA from 1 species